rnacentral:lncRNA from 1 species
UUGGCAAUUUACUUUUAUUGAUGAAAUUCAGAGUUUAUGUUUCAAAUCUAAGUAUUUCCUCUUGAAAGUAACUUAAUCAAAAGCAGUUGAUAAUAGCAGGUUAAUUACCUUGAGUCUUUGCACUGGAAAAACUGGCUGGGUCACCCCAUUACACAACCAUCUAUUAUGAUUAUAUGAUGACUCAUUAUCACGAAGACAAUCUUGUGCCAUUUAAAUCAGCAGGAUUCCAUUUCUUCACCAGAGAACUAUCUCUAAAUACACACACGCAUGCUCACACACUUCUGAGUUUCCCUUUGUUUAUUUUUGCAGCCAACAAAGUAUGUUUUCGAGGUUAACAACGAAGCACAGGAUAGUACAAGUGGAAGAUCAUUAACAUGACUGGAUAGGAACCUCUUUUAAUUUCCCUUUCUUGGCUUUUUCCACACCCUAGGUGGAUUACACUCACCCUGACACACCUAGAAAAUACACCCAGAUACCAGAAUUGCAAAAUUCAGGAAGAAUGCACUGCACACUCUACCUUGUGUGAACAUGGAAAGACCUUGAUAUAAAGGUAUCUGUCUUGGUGAAUCUGGAUCAACAAGGAAUGGCAGAUCUCUAUACUAGAACAAGGCUGAAGGAAGCAGACCAUUUCUGCAAAAUAAGAGUUUAUCUUUGUCAUAAAUACUUUAGGUUGACAUGGUUCUAUUAUAUCAGGCUCGUUGGUCCCAGGAGGUUGCAUUUUUCCUAAAUGUGCGCCGUUAAGGUAUUGUGUGAUUGAGGAGGGGAAGAAGGCUGGAUGGGAAAUCAUGCAAAGACAAGUGCAUGUGGUAGAGAAGCUUAUAAACGGAGUCAUUUUCAUGUUUAACAGGAGACCACGUUUCUUAAUCUCUAGAUAUCCAGUAUCUUCUUGAAUGAGCUGUGGUAUCACUUUAAAAGAUGGGAUUUUUAACAUUUUUAAUGACCACUUCAAAUUCUCCACCAGCCACGGCAUAGUUGUGUGGGUUUUUCUUUUCAAUUUUGGUAUAAUCACCCAGAUUACAUUUCUCUAUGAGAAACAUUCACCUCGCAUUUUGAAAAGCAUAGAAAAAUUCACUGCCAAGGACUAGCUGGCCAACAGUAGCCCUAGGGAGAUAUAUUUCCGUUCUCCCACCCAGCCUCUCUGCACCCAUCCUCACAAUGACAUACACCAUAGUGGAAGUAACAUAUGACUUAUGGUGGGAAAAAAAAUAACAAAUGAUAAAAUGGGAAGGAGGGCAAGGGGAAAAUAGAGAGACUGCUACCCCACCACCUGAAUGGAAGGGGACCCCAGCACAAGGAGGAGGCUUCAGCUACACUGCACACAUGUCCCCCGGGUGUCUGAACCUGCCAGAAAUCUCUUAGUCCAUUUUCCUCUGGUUGAUAGCACUGCAGAGAAAUUGUUUAAUGUGUGUCUAGGGUA